AAUCAACGCUGGCGGCGUGCCUCAGACAUGCAAGUCGAACGCGAAAGUCCCCUUCGGGGGACAAGUAGAGUGGCGCACGGGUGAGUAACACGUAGGUAAUCUACCUUCGGAUGGGGAAUAACAACCGGAAACGGUUGCUAAUACCGCAUAAUGCAGCGGCACCUAAUGGUGACAGUUGUUAAAGCGGGGGAUCGUAAGACCUCGCGUCUGAAGAGGAGCCUGCGGCGGAUUAGCUAGNGGUAAGGUAAUGGCUUACCAAGGCUACGAUCCGUAACCGGCCCUGAGAGGGCGGUCGGUCACACUGACAACUGACAUACGGGUCAGACUCCUACGGGAGGCAGCAGUCGGGAAUUUUGGGCAA
rnacentral:rRNA from 1 species